GGAUCACCUGGUGUAAGAACACACCUGGAAAAAUUACAGUUUUAACAAAUUGGACUGAAUAAUGGUAUUUGAAUAUAAAGAAAGCAUAAAGGAAUGUUUGCAUGAGAAUAUAAAUAAGCUUAGAGAUGAAUAUAAACACAAGUCAUUUUGCUAAUGUAAUUCGGGUAACCUUGUAGUUUCGGUCCCAAGCGCACCUUGGAAAAGAAAAAGGCAAAAAAGACAAUUCAUUUUGGUUCCACACAAUGAUAGUAAAAAAAAUUGGACCCCCAGAAUAUGUAAUGUAUAAGGCUUAUAGUUGAUACAGGGUCCUCUAUCAUUAGUUCAUUACCUUAAUUCUAAAUCAAGCCAUUCAAAUGGUAAAACAGUAACAUGAUGAUUUCUUACUACAAAACAUCAACUGCAAAAAUUAGAUGAAGAUCAGGACAUGGCACACAAACCAACAACCAAAUGUUUGGGCUUGAAGCAUAGUACUGUAUUACAGGCUUAUUUAUGUCUUCAAUGGAUGAAUAUUUCUUUCUUUUUUUUUUUUUGAACUCUACUUUCCUUGCAGAGGCAAACUUGAUUUAUCUGUACUGAAAGUUACAGGUUCCUUCACAUCUAUGGGUAUAUCUUUAGCUUCUAAUGAAUAAAAUCUCUAGUGCCAUAAAAAAUCUAUACACCCUGAAGGAUAAUUAAAAACGGACAAGCACAUAGUACAGAAUCAUUCACAAACAGAAUCCUACAGCAGUGACCAUGAACCAUCCAACUGUUCAGCCACUGCUGAUAUAUGAAGUAGAUUUCUUUGCCUGAGUGUAAAAGCAUAAAGUAAUUAUUGACAACAGUAACAUUUUUUUCCCUUACUGGAGCAAUGAACCUUGCCCUUCAAUAUAGUAAUCUUCUGGAGAGGUGAGUGCUAGGUCCGCAAAACAAGAAAAAUCA
rnacentral:misc_RNA from 1 species